rnacentral:rRNA from 1 species
UACGUAGGGUGCGAGCGUUAAUCGGAAUUACUGGGCGUAAAGCGUGCGCAGGCGGUUUGCUAAGACCGAUGUGAAAUCCCCGGGCUUAACCUGGGAACUGCAUUGGUGACUGGCAGGCUAGAGUAUGGCAGAGGGGGGUAGAAUUCCACGUGUAGCAGUGAAAUGCGUAGAGAUGUGGAGGAAUACCGAUGGCGAAGGCAGCCCCCUGGGCCAAUACUGACGCUCAUGCACGAAAGGCGUGGGGAGCAAACGAGGAUUA